rnacentral:rRNA from 1 species
AGAGUUUGAUCCUGGCUCAGGAUGAACGCUAGCGGCAGGCUUAACACAUGCAAGUCGAGGGGCAGCGGGGAGGAAGCUUGCUUUCUCCGCCGGCGACCGGCGCACGGGUGAGUAACACGUAUGCAACCUGCCCCUGUCAGGGGGACAACCCGCCGAAAGGCGGGCUAAACCCGCGUACAUGCCACCGGGGCAUCCCGGAGGCAGGAAAGGCUUCGGCCGGACAGGGAUGGGCAUGCGGCGCAUUAGGCAGUAGGCGGGGUAACGGCCCACCUAACCGACGAUGCGUAGGGGUUCUGAGAGGAAGGUCCCCCACACUGGUACUGAGACACGGACCAGACUCCUACGGGAGGCAGCAGUGAGGAAUAUUGGUCAAUGGUCGGGAGACUGAACCAGCCAAGCCGCGUGAGGGAUGAAGGUACAGAGUAUCGUAAACCUCUUUUGUCAGGGAACAAAGGCGGGGACGCGUCCCCGGAUGAGUGUACCUGAAGAAAAAGCAUCGGCUAACUCCGUGCCAGCAGCCGCGGUAAUACGGAGGAUGAGAGCGUUAUCCGGAUUUAUUGGGUUUAAAGGGUGCGCAGGCGGUCUGUUAAGUCAGCGGUCAAAGCCCGGGGCUCAACCCCGGCCCGCCGUUGAAACUGGCAGUCUCGAGUUGGAGAGAAGUAUGCGGAAUGCGCGGUGUAGCGGUGAAAUGCAUAGAUAUCGCGCAGAACUCCGAUUGCGAAGGCAGCAUGCCGGCUCCACACUGACGCUGAGGCACGAAAGCGUGGGUAUAGAACAGGAUUAGAUACCCUGGUAGUCCACGCAGUAAACGAUGAAUGCUGGCUGUCGGGGGGGACUGACCCCUGGGUGGCGAAGCGAAAGCGAUAAGCAUUCCACCUGGGGAGUACGCCGGCAACGGUGAAACUCAAAGGAAUUGACGGGGGCCCGCACAAGCGGAGGAACAUGUGGUUUAAUUCGAUGAUACGCGAGGAACCUUACCCGGGCUCAAACGGGGAGUGACUCAGGCAGAGACGCCUGUUUCCCACGGGACACUCCCCGAGGUGCUGCAUGGUUGUCGUCAGCUUGUGCCGUGAGGUGUCGGCUUAAGUGCCAUAACGAGCGCAACCCCCGCGUGCAGUUGCUAACAGAUAACGCUGAGGACUCUGCACGGACUGCCGGCGCAAGCCGCGAGGAAGGCGGGGAUGACGUCAAAUCAGCACGGCCCUUACGUCCGGGGCGACACACGUGUUACAAUGGGUGGUACAGCGGGAAGCCAGGCGGCGACGCCGAGCGGAACCCGAAAUCCACUCUCAGUUCGGAUCGGAGUCUGCAACCCGACUCCGUGAAGCUGGAUUCGCUAGUAAUCGCGCAUCAGCCAUGGCGCGGUGAAUACGUUCCCGGGCCUUGCACACACCGCCCGUCA